AAGAAAGGAAACGGGGAGCUCGAGGGGAAGAGAGGAGAGGAACGAGGGAGAAGAGGAGGAGAGUGAGGGAUCCAGCUUGUCGCGAGGGAAGUCUUCCCCAUUCUCUUCGCCGUCGCACACCACGUCGGGUCAAAGUCGUGAGGUCUUCGCUGACACUUUCUGCUCCGUCGUUGUCUUCGCGGAGAACCAUCAUCACUGCCGCUGCCGUUGAUGGAACCGUUGUCGUCGGAGGAGCCACUGCUGGGAGAAGCCCUAGCCAUCACCGUCGCUGUUUAACAGGGGAGAAAGAGAAGGAGUGACGCGACGGGAGAGGAGAAGGGGGACCUCCGCCACUGCAACAGCCGCCGGCGAGUUGCACGCCACCGUGGAGUCACCAUUCUGCCACCGUUCAGCUGCUGCCACUAUUUCUCGAUUUGACGAACAUCCUCCUUGUUCUAAUUCCAGUUUUUCCAAUUUUUGAAACCUUCAUUGCUAAUUCAUCUCUGGGACAAUCAUAAUUGGCGCGGCUAUUGCUGUUGUUGCUGCCCCGAAGGAGUUGAGGCUACUGCCGCUGCUCUGGCUGUAUUGAGGGUUGCUGCCGCUGCUGAAAAUUAAGGAUAAAGAAAGGGGAUUAUCGCGGUUAAUUCCUAUGGGUUCGACAAAUCUAAGGUAAGGGGUUUAACUUAGAUGAUUUUAAUUAAAGAAUGCCAUAAGGUUUAUUGGAUAAUUAUUAUGAGUAAUUGAUUGAUUAUAUGGAUGUUGAAUUGUGACGCUGAAAUGUGAUUGGGAUUGUUAAGUUAGUGAUAUUGAUUGAUUAUAUGGAUUGUGAAUUGUUAGACAAA